rnacentral:rRNA from 1 species
UACGUAGGUGACAAACGUUAUCCGGAGUUACUGGGCGUAAAGGGCGUGCAGGCGGUCUGUUAAGUCUGGCGUGAAAGCUCUCGGCUAAACCGGGAGAGGUCGUUGGAUACUGACGGACUAGAGGACGGUAGAGGCGUGUGGAAUUCCGGGUGUAGUGGUGAAAUGCGUAGAGAUCCGGAGGAACACCAGUGGCGAAGGCGACACGCUGGGCCGUACCUGACGCUAAGACGCGACAGCAUGGGGAGCGAACGGG